UCAAUAUACACAUGUCUAAGAAAGCGUUAGUCGAGUACAGAGCAGUAAUAAGAAACUGAGAUGACGAAGGAAUAACCGAUCAUCUUAUGAACUUCAGUAGCUUGUAGUUGUUUCUGCUAUAAGAUGCAGUGGACUGAUAGUUGAGUAUCUGAGUAACCGCUUAUAACUUCAGUGG